GUCCCUUUAGGGACAUCUGAUGAAAUUGGAACGAUAUAGAGAAGAUCAUAGUCCUUGUAAAAGGAUUGUGUGCGAGAAUUGAAAGCCAAUCGUAGAUGUU